UUAUAACUCAAUAAAUAGACAGCCGUGUCUGUCCCAGGAGUAAGAUUUGGUCCACAACCAGUCUCAGCAUGAAGAUCCUUUAUCUGCUGUUCGCAUUUCUUUUCCUUGCAUUCCUGUCUGAACCAGGGAAUGCCCACCAUGGGUGUCAUGGAAUGUGCAGGCCCCGCUGUCGUCCAGGCCAUAAUAUUCCCGGGCACUGUCCAGGGCGACAGAGGUGCUGUAGACGGAUGUAAUGCCAUCUCCAUCUAUGACGAUGGAUACCUUCAGGAUAUCUGCAAGAUAUGGCCAAUGACCUGAGAUUACUGCCUGCUGUCGCUUUAUCUUUCUUUAUAUAAAUCAAAUUGCUACCCAUCAAACUCUAAAACAUUUGUGCAUUGAAAUAAAAUUUGGCAAAUAUUUCGUGAAAUAAAGCUAAAUGAGCAUUGCA